rnacentral:rRNA from 1 species
GAAUCUUCCGCAAUGGACGAAAGUCUGACGGAGCAACGCCGCGUGAGUGAUGAAGGUCUUCGGAUUGUAAAACUCUGUCAUUAGGGAAGAACAAGUAUUGGUUGAAUAAGCCCGUACCUUGACGGUACCUAAGGAGGAAGCCCCGGCUAACUACGUGCCAGCAGCCGCGGUAAUACGUAGGGGGCAAGCGUUGUCCGGAAUUAUUGGGCGUAAAGCGCGCGCAGGCGGUCCUUUAAGUCUGAUGUGAAAGCCCACGGCUCAACCGUGGAGGGUCAUUGGAAACUGGAGGACUUGAGUGCAGGAGAGGAAAGUGGAAUUCCACGUGUAGCGGUGAAAUGCGUAGAGAUGUGGAGGAACACCAGUGGCGAAGGCGACUUUCUGGCCUGUAACUGACGCUGAGGCGCGAAAGCGUGGGGAGCAAACAG